rnacentral:lncRNA from 1 species
AUGAACAAAGUAGCAGUCCAACCACUACAAAGAUUUACACGCAUUUUAAGUGUUUGCUGUCACAAAGCUGUUAAUGAACUGAGGUGUGUUGUGCAGUGUGAUCAUCUUACAUGUUCUUCUUUUCUGCUUAACUCAAUAGCUCCUUUGGACAGCGUUACAGUGACUCCGUCUGCCUCUGGCACUCUGUCGUUCCACUCCUGGGAAAAGAGGCCUAAUGAUGUAUUCACGGUCAAUCUCCUUUUUUUUAGUUCAUAUAGUUAAUUAUUUGUAUUUAUAAUGUAUGUAUUUUUAUUUCAGUUUGUCAGUUGAUUUUAUUUUGAUUAUAUUAUGAUCAGUUUUACUUAAACCACUUUAUAAAUGCUUUAUAUUAUUUUAUUUAUAGCUCGUAUGUGUAUCUUUGAGUAAUGCCACUUCUUGGUUUAAAGUACAUAACCAGUACACUGAAAAAAGUAAUAAGUAAAUUUACUUAAUUUUUAUUUGGCAAGUUUUUGCACAAGCAUUUUUCAAGUAAAUUUAACACAUUUGGAAAUUAAGUAAAUCUACUUAACUAAGUUAAGUAAAUAAAAUAAUAAUAAUAAUAAGUACAUUUUAUUGAGUAAAAUUUUAUUAAAUAAUAUAAAUGCAUUUAGCAGACACUUCUAUCCAAAGCAACUUACAGUGCAUUCAGGCUAACAAUUUUCACCUAUCAUGUGUUCCCGGGGAAUCAAACCCCCCAACCUUGCGCUUGCUAAUGCAAUGUUCUACCACUGAGCUACAGGAACACUUCAAGAUCUUGUGAAAAAUAAGUGCAAAUUUCACUUACUUACUUUUUUAUUUUGGAAGAGUUUUUACACUAAUAAAAAAACAGAAACAGAUAUUCUAGAAAUUUCUAAAUGUAAAAUAUUUUUUUUCAAAACAGUUUUAUCAAAUGAGGGUAAAUAAGUCUCUCACUUCUGUCCCUUUAAACCAGUUUACAGCAAAGACAGCACGAAGGACUGGAUGCACAUGAUAAAUAUUCUGCAAUUAAGAAAACAGACAAAAGAAAUUGCACUGUAAAACCUGAUGAGUAAACUUUACUCAAACCGUUUGAGUAAAUAGAUUGCCUUGAUUUAAACCAUGUAAGUUUAAAAACUUUGCAUUUAAGUAAUUAAUUGAUUAACUAAGUGCUGAUUGAGAAUUAGUGAUGAACAGCUGCUGUUAACAAACAGAAUCACUGAAGAAAAGAGAAACACAAGAACUACUACAACUGACUUCAGACACAGCCUUAGAUGAAAUCAACUGAAAUAAAAUACAUGAAAUCUCUCAAGAUCUGAUUAAACAACCCCACAAACAGCAUCACCAGCUCCACUUAUUAAUAACCAGACUGACUUUAUUUCUGUCAGACGUCUACAGAAGAUCUUAUU